UGAAUGGUGUCUGACCACUGGCUCCCGGA
rnacentral:piRNA from 1 species